rfam:Oryza sativa (indica cultivar-group) chromosome 11, whole genome shotgun sequence.
CUUAAGUGCAACCAUAAGUUUCCACGCAAAACUUUGAUCGUCCGUUUUAUUUAAAUUUUUUUAUAAAUAGUAUUUUUGUUGUUAUGAGAUGAUAAAACAUAAAUAGUAUUUUAUUUGUGACUUAUGUUUUUAAAUUUUUUUUAAAAAAAUUUAAAUAAGACGAACGGUUAAAGUUGGACGCGAAAAACCAUAGCUGCACUUAAA